GACGAACGCUGGCGGCGUGCUUAACACAUGCAAGUCGAACGGAAAGGCCCUGCUUUUGUGGGGUGCUCGAGUGGCGAACGGGUGAGUAACACGUGAGUAACCUGCCCUUGACUUUGGGAUAACUUCUGGAAACUGGGGCUAAUACCGGAUAGGAGCUCCUGCUGCAUGGUGGGGGUUGGAAAGUUUCGGCGGUAGGGGAUGGACUCGCGGCUUAUCAGCUUGUUGGUGGGGUAGUGGCGUACCAAGGCUUUGACGGGUAGCCGGCCUGAGAGGGGGACCGGCCACAUGGGGACUGAGAGACGGACCAGAAUGCUACGGGAGGCAGCAGUGGGGAAUAUUGCACAAUGGGCGGAAGCCUGAUGCAGCAACGCCGCGUGCGGGAUGACGGCCUUCGGGUUGUAAACCGCUUUCGCCUGUGACGAAGCGUGAGUGACGGUAAUGGGUAAAGAAGCACCGGCUAACUACGUG
rnacentral:rRNA from 1 species